GACAAACGCUGGCGGCAUGCCUAACACAUGCAAGUCGAACGGACAGAACAGGGAAGCUUUUCGGAGUGGAACUGGAAAGUUAGUGGCGGAUGGGUGAGUAACGCGUGGACAACCUACCUUGUAAAGGGGAAUAACCUCGAGAAAUCGAAGCUAAUACCCCAUAAUAACCUUGCUUCGCAUGAAGUAAGGAGGAAAGGCGGCCUUAGCGCUGUCGAUACAAGAUGGGUCCGCGUCUGAUUAGCUAGUUGGUGAGGUAAAGGCUCACCAAGGCAACGAUCAGUAGCCGGCCUGAGAGGGUGAACGGCCACAUUGGGACUGAGACACGGCCCAAACUCCUACGGGAGGCAGCAGUGGGGAAUCUUCCGCAAUGGGCGAAAGCCUGACGGAGCAAUGCCGCGUGAGUGAAGAAGGCCUUCGGGUUGUAAAACUCUGUCCUUAUCGAAGAGAGAGUGUUGUAGUAACUGACAAUACUAGGACGGUAGAUGAGGAGGAAGCCCCGGCUAACUAUGUG
rnacentral:rRNA from 1 species